UACGGGGGGGGCUAGCGUUGUUCGGAAUUACUGGGCGUAAAGGGCGCGUAGGCGGUCUGCUAAGUUGGAUGUGAAAACUCUGGGCUUAACCCAGAGCCUGCAUUCAAUACUGACAGGCUAGAGUUCUGGAGGGGAUAGCGGAAUUCCUGGUGUAGCGGUGAAAUGCGUAGAUAUCAGGAGGAACACCGGUGGCGAAGGCGGGUCUCUGGGCCGAAAUUGACGCUGAAGAGCGAAAGCGUGGGGAGCGAACAGG
rnacentral:rRNA from 1 species